AGUGAACGCUGGCGGUAGGCCUAACACAUGCAAGUCGAACGGCAGCACAGUAAGAGCUUGCUCGUACGGGUGGCGAGUGGCGGACGGGUGAGGAAUACAUCGGAAUCUACUUUUUCGUGGGGGGUAACGUAGGGAAACUUACGCUAAUACCGCAUACGACCUACGGGUGAAAGCAUAGGAUCUUCGGACCUUGCGCGAUUGAAUGAGCCGAUGUCGGAUUAGCUAGUUGGCGGGGUAAAGGCCCACCAAGGCGACGAUCCGUAGCUGGUCUGAGAGGAUGAUCAGCCACACUGGAACUGAGACACGGUCCAGACUCCUACGGGAGGCAGCAGUGGGGAAUAUUGGACAAUGGGCGCAAGCCUGAUCCAGCCAUACCGCGUGGGUGAAGAAGGCCUUCGGGUCGUAAAGCCCUUUUGUUGGGAAAGAAAAGCAGCAGGUUAAUACCCCGCUGUUCUGACGGUACCCAAAGAAUAAGCACCGGCUAACUUCGCG
rnacentral:rRNA from 1 species